rnacentral:tRNA from 1 species
AGUUAAUGAACUUGUAUAAGUAUAUAUUUUGAAAAUAUAAAAAAGAGCUAAAAUCUCUAUUAACUU